AAAAAUCAAUGGAAAAAAUAUCAGCAGGUGAGGAUUAACAACAACAAAAAAACACCAAAAAAACCCUUGAAGUUUGGCACUGAAACUCCUUGUCAGAGAGAGCGAGCACAGUGUUCUACAUAUAAUGGGCACAUAAAUAUGCUGACGGAAUAAAUGAAAUUUCUUCUAUGUGACAUACAAAGAGUCCAAUUCAACUGACUGGCAUUGUAUUAGUUUUGAGGUCAACCAAGGGAAAGUGAGAAUGAAAUCAAGGAGACCAAGAAGCUUCUACGAUGCCCUUCUGAAGCAUUCUCAAGACAAGGGUCCCCGGAUGUCUCUGCUUUUAUGAUCUUUAGGUCCCUAUCUUGAAAGCUGGAGUCCCAAACUAUAUAUCUUCUGUAUAAAAGUGUCGGGCAAAGGAGUGUGACUUAAAUUUUAUUCUAUAGUUCCUUUAAGGAAAUUUUCUGAAAGCUGUAUGAUCCCAUAGUCGUAAUAAAGGAAACAAAGUAAAGAUAAAAUCUGAA